AUUCUGCCUGGAUUCAGUAGAGUAUUGGUACAGAAUGAUUUUCUUUAAGAUGUAAUCUAAAUUCUUAUUAUUUUUCAACAAUUCAAACAUAUUCAAAACCUUUUCAAUUCUCAUUUAAACCAAGGAUUAUGAAAAACAGCACUUAUUAUUCAUUAAAAUGCAAAAGCCCCCACUGCUUCUUCGAAGACCCUUACCUCCAAAAUUCACUAAGCUGUCUUUACAUGAGAAAAAAACCCAUACAGCUAAAACUGGUAAAAUUGAGUCACUACAUGUAGCAUUCACUGAAGAUGAAACCACUUCCAUUAAAAUGGAUAGAACUCGUUUUCCUGAUGUUUUAAGAAAUCAAUCACUAACACCUAUCAAUAUCCAAAAUAUCUUUCUUGAUCACUGUGUACAAGAAAGAGUGACUGCAAUUUCAUCACCCCAGAAAUCUACUAAGCAUGUCCGUGAGCAGAUUCCAGAUACUGCUACUGGUUCCAUAUUUUUUCCACAUUGUAAUUCAGCUUCUACUCGAAUUUUUGGGAAACAAACAAACAAAAUGGAAAGUUCAAGAAAGUUUAAAACUAUGAAAGAUGUUUAUACUGAAAAAAGGCUAGAAAACAUUUUAAUUCUUUCUUCCAAGUUUUCCAAACCUAAAAGUACUCCUGGCUCAGUUAUCGCUCAAAAACUUGAGAAAAUGCACCCUAAGCAUCAACCUUUACCAGAGAGUCCAGGCUAUACUUAUCAGCACAUCUCGAGAGACUUAAGUGCAACAGUGCCAAGCCCUCCACCUAUGACUGUAUCUAUGAAACCAGAAGGACAGUGGCCUGAACAUUUUAAAUCAACUGCUACAUUGACACUAAGAGUUACUGAAUUUCCAGGUUUUGUUUCCUUGCCAACACCAGUUUUACCAAGAAAACCUCACAGGCAGUCUGUGAUAGAAACUCUUGUAACAGAAAAUGGAAAUAUAGAAAGUGUCCCAAAGCAAAUCCCACCAAGACCACCUGAAGGUCUCACCAAAACUGAAAAAAUAGAAUCAGAGAUACACGUUGUACGUGGUGAAGGUUUUAAGACUGUUGCAGCAACACGAUAUGAAACAAUAACAGCCAUGACCAACCUGGCCAUAGUAAACUGUCAAGUAUAUGGGAGAAAUGCACUUAAUCUGAAGGGCUUUUUUAUCCUAAAUUGUCCAGACUUAACACCUUUGGCUUUCCAGUUGAUAUAUCUUAAUUUAUCAUUUAAUGAUCUUCAUUACUUUCCCACAGAAAUACCUCCUUCCUCCCUCAUUAUUCCGUGAUUUCCUCGUAUGAAACCGUGAGCUUGAUCAGAAAGGGUAACUUUCACACUUAGGAAAGCACCAUUCUUGAGUCAAGGGUGUAUGAGUACAGUGGUUGCACUAUUUCACCAUAUCAUACCUAUUAAUGCUGGUCACUUGUUUUGAAGGUUGACCGAGGGUGUUUACUGAGUUACAUGAUAUAGCCAAUUAAUGUUGCUAUAAUGAUUCUACAUUAGUUCAGAGAGUUUAUAAAAGGUAACAAAUAAUGAUUUGCAUACUUUAUUAUUCCGCUCAUGUUUGUUUCUCUUUUCUGUUCCCCAGAUAUUAUGUCUUAAAAAUUUACAAAUACUGAAAUUGAGAAAUAAUCCUAUCAAAGAAAUUCCUUCUGAAAUUCAACAACUUGAGUUCCUUAGAAUUUUCACCAUUGCUUUUAAUUUAAUUACUGUUCUUCCAAUUGGGUAAGGUUGAUGGUCUGAGAUUAUAAACACAGAAAAUAAUUCAUAAUUUCGAAAAAGAUCAAUUUCCCCUUUCAAAGCAGCUAGCAGCUUUUUGGCUAUUUAGUAAUUUGUAUUCUAUUCUAAUUAGCUAAUACGCUUCUUCUUAUGGUGUUAAAAACAAUCCUACCAGCUACAUACAGAGCAAUUAAUAUGGGUCUAGUGACUAUACAUUUAGAAACACGUUAUCUGAGUACGGGUUAAAUUAACAGGAAUUAUCUAAAGCAGUUCAGGUGAGAGCCUUGCACCUAUCUCUUGACAGCCUUUUUGGAUAUGGAAAGAGCACUGAAUUUGGGAUGAGGAAAUCUAGUCCUUUGACUUUAAAGUUGAUGAUAAUUAUAUAUUUGAUCUGGAGAAAGUAAUUUAACCAUUCUUGGCCUCAAUUUCCUAAUCUGUAAACUAAGGAGAUUGGCUUAUAUGAUAUCUAAGACCCUUUCAACUCCAUAAGAAUGCUGAUAUUUGGACAUAAAAGAGAUGGGUUUCUUCCCACGUAUGGACUAGUAAUUAUUUAACUCCUAAUGAAAAUUUUAAACCAAAACCUUAACCAAAUGUCAAAACAAGAUACUUAUUCCAAUCAGAGUUUAACAAAUUGAAUCUCUCAGUACAAAGAGAAAGGGACUCAUAAAUAGUUGAAUAAUACUUUGCAAAAUAAGAGUCUUAUCUAUAGUAAUUAAGGAAGUGCAUCCAAAUUCAUUUAUAAAGAUGUUCAUUCAGUAUUGUUUGUAAUUAAUGAUCUAAAAAAUUGUACAUUCAUAAACAUUCAGUUAUUUAAAAGAAUAAGAAAUUAUAUUAAAAAAUUAUACCAUUUCUGUAUAAAAUGCAUAUACAUAUCACACAUUACACACUACAUAUAUAAAAAGAAAGAAUAAACACUAAAGAAGUAAGAAUGUUACAUAUGGGUAUUUUAUUUCUGUUUGACUCAUCCGGAUUUUUCCACAGUACAUAAACUGUAUUUUCCCUGCCCUGACACUAUCUGCCAUUUCUCUAAGGAAAUCCUGUUUCCUUUUAUUAGAAAAUAGUGUUUAAAAGCCAAGAUCUGGGUGUUGGGUAUCCUCAUCACCAUUAGGUUAUCAUUCCUUCUAGACCCUCUCAUUGGAGAGAGCAAAGUAAUAUAUGUAUGUAUACUAACCCAUGUGUACACACAUAUCUGUAAUUGUUUAUAUAGAUACAAACACAUAUACAAUUACAUAUAUACACACACAGAACUAUAUAUGUAUAAAUAUAUAUGUAUAUAUACAGCAUCUAAACAUGAAUUCCUACUGGAUAAUCUAUAAUCAUAAUUAUACAUUUUCAAUAAUCAUAACUACCAUUUAAACAAAAUAAAAAUUCCUAAAGCAAGUGAAAUGUGAUUAUAACUAAAAGGUCAACAUUUUGUUCAUUGUUUAGAUAUUGGACAAAUAAGUAUGAAUUGUUGAUUAUAAUCAAAAAGUUUGCAGAAGCUAUUUUUAAAAACUAUUAGUGUUUCUGAAAUAAAGCGGCAUAUUUUUAUUAAAUAACAUAGGAUAUGUAUGCAUAUCAGGGGAAGAAUGACAGCAUAUUAAAGCCAAGAAUGAAAAACAUAAUGGGGAAAACUUAACUUUAUUGACCUCAAAGAAGACUUCAAGCAAGCUCUGACAUAAUAAAAAUGUUUAUUUGCAAAGUUUGUUCAAUGAAAACUCACCAGGAGGGCACUUAUACAGUGAAGAAUGAAGGUGCUGAAUUCUUCAUAUCUAAGGGUUGUUGUCAGAAAUCUACCUUGCUGAGCAAAGAAGACCUCACGGAGUGUGGUGAGACUUGGAGAUCAGUAACUGAAUUAAAUUGAGUGAAAUUUAGUGAACCAAACCAUUAUGUAAUAUAUUUGAGAUAUUCUGGCUCCAUGUAAAUUCUGGAGUUUGGACAUUAUUACCAUCACAAGCAAUUGCACUGAUACACUUUGAAUGUUAUACUUUCAUUCUUGUAAUUAAUUCAGCAGAUGUUCAUGAAGCAUCUAUUAAUACUGUGUGCUCCUAGGAGCUCACCACCUAAAAGGAAGGCAGACAAUUCAAUACAAUUGAGUAAAGUAAAAUAAUGGAGAUGUACACAGUAAAAUGUAUGAGUUACAUGUAACCCAUUCUGAAGGGUGAGAGUUGGUUCCCUGGAAGAUGUAGUAUUUGAUCCAAAGUUGACUGAGUGUGAAUUAGGUGGAUUAAACAGGAGAGACAACAAAGGAUAGUUGGGCCAAUGAUAGGGUGGAUAUUUCUUCAAUGAAAAGUUACAACGUAUAUGAAAAGAAGCAGCAUAUAUAACAUGAGAUGGGAAAUACAAGCAGUUUGCUGGUUUUGAAGCUUAGAGGGCAAUGCCAAGUGGUAAGAAAUGGUACAGUAAGCAGGGACCAGAUUAUCUAGGAAGCCUUAUGAGCUAAGGUAAAGAAUUUAUGCUGUAUGCAACAAGAAACCAUUACAGGUUUUCCAUAUGUGAGUGGUAGAGUCAAACUUAUAUUUUACGUUAUUCUAGUGGCAGUGUGGAGGAUGGAUGUGAGGGGAUAAACAGAAUUAAAGGUGACCAGUUGGAAGGCCAUUGCAGUAGUUCAAGCAAGAGAUGAAGAGAACUUGGACCAAGGCAAUGGUAGUGAGCAUGGAGAAGGAGGAACAAAUUGUUAUGAAAUUGAAGUAAAACCUGCAAGAUCUAGAACUGAGACAUAGAGGCUAUAAGGAACAGAAAAGUCAAAGUAAAAAAAAAAAGUCAAGGUAAUGCCCAGAUCUCUAGUUAGAGUGAAACAAUUCAAUCAUGUAAAAUGUAUUUAUUGAGUAUUUACUAAAUACUGGGCUCUGUCCUAAGCAUUGGGUUCAGAUUGUUAAAGGAAAAGGGGCAUGAUCUUUUCCCUUAUGGGGCUUAGAAUCCAGAGCACGAUACAGGAAUUUUAAUAAACACCAUAAUAAAUAUAUGAAUAUAUAAAUAUAAAACAUUCUAAGGGCUUUGACUGAAAAGAACAAUAUGAUGUCAGGAGAAAAAAAAAUUGAAUCACUAAGAAAGGUGUAUCUGAGGAAAUGACAUUUAAGCAGAAGUUUAUAAAUCCAGUCCAAGAAUAAGAAAAAGAAUAUUCAUGCAGUGGGAAUAACAUGGGAGGUAAUGAGAGCUUGGACUCCUCAAAGGCUGACAGGAAGCCAGCAUGGCUUAGAAUAAAACCCAGGUGAGGUUUAGGAGUUGGAUAGGGACUACAUCCCAUGAAGCUGUGAGGGUCAGGUGAAAAUAUUUAUAAUUUAUUUAAAGUGCACUGAGAAGCCAUUGCUUGUUUUUAAGCACAAGAGUGACAAUGAAGGCUGAGGAGGUUUGAAUGAAGGAAAAUAAUUGGUUUUGUUUUAGAUUAACAUGUUGAUUUUAGAUUUCUGUUUUUCAUCACAAUUCUGGACCUAGACCUAUUAACCUCACAGGAGAGUUUUGUGCUGGAGAUAUUUCUGGAGAAACAUCUGUGUUUCAAAUACAGACAGAUAAAGAAAUUAUAAAGACUGAGGAAAAGCCUCAAAUUGCAUAAAGAGAACCAAGAGUAUCAUGGAAGCCAGGGAAGUGGAUUAUUUUGAAAAAGAAGUAUGACCAACAGUGUCAAAUACAACAGAGAAGCUCAGUAAGAGUAAAGGAUGUUGGAAAGAAACCAAUAGGGAAUAGAUUGAAGAUGUGGAAGGAUGACAGAUGAAGCAGAAUUUCACAGGAGAUGGGAGGGGAAGAAGUCAUCAGCUCAGGUGGAGAUUCUGGUCUUGAACAGGAGGAGUAACCAUUAUCUCCUAAAACUGGAGAUGGAGGAAGGGAGCCAUGAGUCAAGGAAUGAGGCAGCUUGAAAACCUGGGAAUGGCCUUCAGCAUACAGCCAACAAGAAAACAAGGGCCUCAGUUCUACAGCCGGAAAGAACUGAAUUCUGCCAACAGCCUGCAUGAGUAAGAAAACAGAUUCUCCCUAGAGCCUCCAGAUAGCAAUGCAGUCCUGCUGAUGCCUUAAUUUUAGUAGAGUGAGACCUUUGCAGACUUCUGACCUAUAUAACUAUAAUUAAUAAAUCUGAGUUGUUGUACGCCA